GUCCACGCCGUAAACGAUGGAUGCUAGCCGUUGGUAAGCAUGCUUAUCAGUGGCGCAGCUAACGCAUUAAGCGUCCCGCCUGGGGAGUACGGCCGCAAGGUUGAAACUCAAAGGAAUUGACGGGGGCCCGCACAAGCGGUGGAGCAUGUGGUUUAAUUCGACGCAACGCGCAGAACCUUACCAGGGUUUGACAUCCCGCGCUAAGCCCAGAGAUGGGUGGUCCCCGCAAGGGGCGCGGAGACAGGUGCUGCAUGGCUGUCGU
rnacentral:rRNA from 1 species